rnacentral:rRNA from 1 species
AACUUAUAUAUGGUGAAAAAGCCAUGUUUCAAUUAAAGACAGAAGACCCUAUAAGUUUUUUAAACCUUAAUAUCCUGGGGGGGGGGGGGGUAGGUGGGGCACUCCAAGACUAAACCUUUUCCAUACUUAGAGCUUAUUGCUCCCCCUCCUUAUCCCCACCCAAUCAGCCAGUUACCUAUAGGGAUAACAGGCAAUAUUUUCCACGAGCACGUAUCAACGAAAAUGCUUGGCCCCUCGAUGUUGGCUUAGGGAAUCUAUCUCACGCAGAAGUAAGAUCCGAAGGUUUGUUCAACCAUUAAUCCCCUACGUG